ACAUAAUGGAUAAUUUACUUAAAAAGCAAACCCCUAUAUUUUGAAACUUAAUUUUAGAAAUAGAAAAGAUUACUGGCAGCCAAACAAAGUAUUUACUCAGGUGCCUCGUAAACAUGAUUUGGCAUCCAAAACCUGGAUAUGACUUAGAGAGGAGCUCACACCUUUGAACAAACUGUGCUUUUCUAAUCCUGCACCUUUAUCUGAGCCAAAGCCCCAGGUCAGGGCUAGGAAAGUCAAGAAAUAGGAAGGAAAUCGGUCAGUUUUCUAUCAUCAUUGGUGAGUGACCAGAGCUUUUCUUUAAGUAAAAAUAAUUGUCUAAAAGAAAUGUUCAUUAUUUCUUUGCUGAGAUGCUUCUUAAGUAAUAAAAACAUGGAAUUCAAUUGGUGUGAAAGUGUAGGGAGAUUUAUUAAAAACAGGAAAUGGUAAAAUUAGAUGAAGUUCAAGGGCCAGUGUGAACAAAAUAGAAUUUAACUGAGGGUUGCUUCUUGUAUCGAACUCUUCUCUUUCAUUGUACUGUUUCCUUCAUAAGUCUCCACUGGUUUUUUAAAUCUCCUUACCCAAAGAGGACAACAGAAAAUAGAAAGGGGAUUUUGACACCCCAUUCCUGUCUUUUAUGGAUGAUGUCACCAGAUUAAGGGAUGUUCCUAGGAUCUAUUUUUAUUGGUUGGGGACAGCUCGGUUGAGGAAAUAAGAGCUUAUGUUGUUUCCUUCUCAAGAGAUGUUGGAACUCCAGGGAAGCUGUAAAAUUAGAAUUUUUACAAGCCUUAAGAAAUAUACUCACUCUGGUUGGGCUUGAAAGUGUAACAAGAGGUUAAAAUAGAAGUUCUAGCUGAAGCACAAAGAAAGUAGAAACAACACAUCAAAGUGAGGGAUUUAUAAAGCAGGAGACUGAAAACCAGCUGGUGACUCUUGAAUUCCUCACCCUUAUUGAGAGUAUAAAAGGCUUAUAGCCCUCACCCUUUCACCUCAAAUCAAGAGGGAAGGGUUUUAGAAACACAACUUGGAGAGCUUAAUAUGUAUCCCUGAAGUUUGAGGAAAGGGGACGUAGUGUACUGACUUCUGCCUGGAAAGUCUAACAGGUGGGAGAUUAAUUGACUGCAAUGAAGGAGAAAGCCAAUGACAGGUUGCUUCUUGACUGGAAUUGUUCAGCACUCCAGAGGCUGUCAGGGAAAGGAUGUGAGCAUGCUGCCUGGAAUCUGAUGUGGCUCAGCUGUAGGACAAAGAUAGUGUGUUUUCUUAAGUUCUGACCAAAUGAACCACCUUAAGAGACAAAGAUCACUCAGCAAGGAAAGCUGAAGAUGCUAUGAGAUGCCAGAGGUUGGGGAAGGAGCAAACAACCAGCUGGAAUGGAUAUGCCUUUUCUCAAAGAAAAUUGCAAGUGGAAGAAUUCCAGCCAUGGGGUCUCCAAAGCAUCCGUGAAACUGUUCCACAAGACAAGGAUGGAUGACUGAAUGCCAAACCCAGAGAGCAGUGAAGCUAAAUCAACUCAAUCAUUUCAGUGAAGAAAGAAAUCUCCUGUCCUUUCCUGUCCCUGAACUCCAUGAUGAAGGGCCAUGUGCUGUAGGUAGCAAAACAGGGGAGAAAGAAUUUCAGUUUUCCUUUUCCCUUGAAAUUUUCUAGCUAAAUCAGUCCGAAAUGUGGAAGGAAAAAGCAUGAAGUUUUUUAUUUUUAUUUUUUGAGACUGAGUCUUGCUCUGUUGCCCAGGCUGGAGUGCAGUGGUGUGGUCUUGGCUCACUGCAACCUCCUCUUCUCGAGUUCAAAUGAUUCUCCUGCCUCUGCCUCCCGAGUAGCUGGAAUUACAGCCGUGCACCACCAUGCCCAGCUAAUUUUUAUAUUUUUAGUAGAAACAGGUUUCACCAUGUUGGCCAGGCUGGUAAUGAACUCCUGACUUCAGGUGUCUGCCAGCCUUGGCCUCCCAAAGUGCUGGAAUUACAGGCAUGAGCCACCACACCUGGCCACAUGAAAGCAUGAAAUUUAAUGCAGAUAGAUUUACCUAUCAUAUAAAAAUGGAAAACCGAAUUACUAAGUGGAACUGAUAUUUUGUGAUCCAGGAAUGACCAUGUCUGAACUUUCAUUUGAGGGGAAAAAGGAUAAUUAACACCAUUGAACAAAUUUAAAGGGAGAAUGGAAGACAAAGUAAAGUUGUUUUAUGUUUACAUACAGCUGUGCUAUUAAGAAAAGCUACCGAUUUUUAUUUUUUGUCUCGUACAAAUUUUUCUCAUUAAAGUUAUACAACCAACAAAAAUAGAUUUGUAUCUUCUUUUCUACUAUGAGUAUUGAUUAUUUUUAUCUCAUUGCAUUUGCUUGGACCUUCUCAAGAAUAUGGCAAAUAAUAAUAGUUAUACUAGGCAUCCUUGUCAAGUUCUGAUUUUAAUUGAAGAGGUUUUAGUGUUUCACCACUAGGAAUACUAUGUGCUUUUGGUUUCAAACUAGGCUUUAUUAAAUUUUAGUAUUUUAUUCCAGUUUUUAGUUUCUGUUUUCUAAUUUUCUUAUAAACAAUAAAACAAUUAUGUCUGUUGAAUUUGAUUGGAUGUCUUAUUUGUAACUAUCUGAUGACAUUUUAGUAUUGAUUAAUCAAAAAAUAUUUUCCUUUAGUUUAUUUUUUGAUUUUGCAUUAUGUUGAUAAAUUUCCUAGUAUUGAAUAACCUUGGUAUUCUUAGAACAUUCCUAACUUAGUAAUAAUAUAUAUUUUGGUACAUUGUUUGAUUAUAUUUGCUAAUAUUUACCUUUUUCUCCCCCCUACAGGCAUUUAGUGAAAUUGGUCCAUAGUUUUAUUUUCUUCUGCUAAUGCUAUGCUGAGUUAAUAAAAUGAAUUGAGAAGCACUCACCUUUUUCUGUGGUCUGGAAUAAGUAACACUGAAAUAAUCUGUUCUUAAUACAUACGAUGAAAUACUUACAAAUGUGCAUUAUUGUGGUGACUUUUAAAAUAGUACAUGUUUAAUUACCUUUGAAGAUGCUAACGUAGCAAUUAAAAAUGUUUUUUCAUUUAUGAGUCAA
rnacentral:lncRNA from 10 species